AAUGAACGUUGGCGGCGUGGAUUAGGCAUGCAAGUCGAGCGAUCGUAGCAAUACGGGAGCGGCGAACGGGGUAGGAAUACCUCGGAACAUACCCUCAGGUCGGGGAUAGCGGCGGGAAACUGCCGGUAAUACCGGAUGACCUCUCCGGAGCAAAGGUGUGAUUCCGCCCUUGGAGCGGCCGACGUGGUACCAGCUAGUUGGUGAGGUAAUGGCUCACCAAGGCAAAGACGCCUAGGGGGUGUGAGAGCAUGGCCCCCACCACUGGGACUGAGACACUGCCCAGACACCUACGGGUGGCUGCAGUCGAGAAUCUUCGGCAAUGGGCGCAAGCCUGACCGAGCGACGCCACGUGCGGGAUGACGGCCCUCGGGUUGUAAACCGCUGUCGGGGGGGAUGAAGUCACGGGGGGUACUCCCCUCGUGUUGACAGAGCCCCGGAGGAAGCGCGGGCUAAGUACGUGCCAGCAGCCGCCGUAAUAC
rnacentral:rRNA from 1 species